UGAGAGCCAGAAGGAACACAGGAAUCACUUGGCAGACUCACUGCGAGGAAAGAAAAGCGACACCAAAGGUGGCUUCAAAGCAAAAUAAAUAGGAGCAGCUUUAAAAAGUAGAACGGCCACUGUUCAUCAGCGCCACUAUCCAGUUUCGUAAACUCUUCAACCUGCACUCAAGACAAACCCGCCAUUUUUCUUCCCUCACUCCCUCCGUUAAAUCUCGCGAGGUUUUGCGCGGCCUUCAAUUUUAUCGCGAUCCUUCCCAAGUCCCGAUUGUCGCGUGGCGUGGUCACUAUGACAACCAAGGCAACGACGUGUUUGCUCCUCUCCUCUCCCCGACCCUGGGAAAGGCUUGAGGUCACGUGUUUACAAAUGAUCUCUGUAUCAUACAAAAUAACAGAUAACAAAACCCCACGCCCACAUGUAGUUAACGGCAGGGGAAAAACGAAAUAGGUGACGAACGCUGCGUUUUACCCGGACUGUUUCCAACGCUAGGGGACAUGUUCACACGGGGAUGCUGGUGUUGGGAUGGGAAGCGAUGAGGCUGACUAUACUGAAACACACACACACACACACGGCGAUGAUUAACUGGAAUUUACACGCAGGGGCGAAGUAACAGAGUUCGCUGAACUCCUCGGACCGUCACAAAAUCCUACUAAAUGAUCUCAGGGACCACUUCCACCUCCUGGAAACACUUGCCAAACAUGUGGUCAAGGAUACAUCUCUUGCAUGGGGCUCAUCAACAACACAAGGACCAACAGGAUCCAUGACGAGAG